rnacentral:rRNA from 1 species
UACGUAGGGGGCGAGCGUUGUCCGGAUUUAUUGGGCGUAAAGAGCUCGUAGGCGGUUUGGCAAGUCGGGUGUGAAAACUCCGGCUCAACUCGGAGACGCCACUCGAUACUGCUAUGACUCGAGUCCGGUAGGGGAGUGCGGAAUUCCUGGUGUAGCGGUGAAAUGCGCAGAUAUCAGGAGGAACACCGGUGGCGAAGGCGACUUUCUGGGACGUUCCUGACGCUGAGGUUCGAAAGCUCGGGGAGCAAACAGG